UGUAUUAAUAUCAGACAUGAAACUCACUAGCCCCCUAUUAAGAUACACUUACUGUCUGGGCAUUUAUUUUGAGAAACUAGGUCCAGCCCUAGUUUCCUGUUAACGUACAGUGAGCAUUCAGGGUUUUUAUUUAGAGCCUCAUCCUGAGCUUCUUAUAGUUACUGUGUGCAUGCAUCAGUACAUAAUCAUUUGGUGUGCCCUUGCUGUUUGGUGGAGGAGCUAUUGGCUUAUUGCUGUAUAUUUUUACAUUGAUUAUUGUUGUGUGCUGUAGCUGACGGGGGCAUACAAUGACAAUGCAGCAGCCUAGGUCUCAGUGUAGACAGGCAGUAGUUACAUACUAUAAGACCAGCUAUAUUACACGUUUGUAGUCUGUAUUUACUGUAUCUUUCUAUGCAGGAUGAACUUGACGAAGCCGUCAACACAUGGAAUUCACACAAAAUCAGACAACGUGCAAGUGAUGGCGCAGCCUCAGGUCGGCCAUUUGUGAUGUACUCAUUCCCAGAGUUGCACAGUGCUGAAGAUAGACUCAAACCUAUUGCCAUGGAGGAGGUCACUUUGUGUAUGGAAGAGUGUACUCCCAAAGGCCAGUUUCCAUGCGAUGAAACGGUUUUUGAACUGUGUUGUCUACUAAUGGAGGAACAUGGAUGGGAUGCUCCAGCAGAUCCACUUGCUGCAGCUGAUCUGUACAUCAUUUUAAGAGAGGAAAUACAGGAAAAUAUUUGAAUGGAUCAUGUCCAUUAGGUAUUGGCCCUCCUCUUCGCCCCACUCAUCACUGCCUCUCCAUUCAACUGACAUGUUUUGGAUCACAAAAGACAUCCAGAAAGGGAGGAUCAGCUACUCCAACUUCUCAGGGACCUAAGGACCAUGCCCAAAGCCAUGGUGAAGAUGUUGGGGUGACCUGAACUGUUUGUAUUACAUCGUCCCAACCAAAUUAUUCAGCAUUGCUGUCAGUUAGCUUUUCAACAGUUGAAUAUUUGGGAUACAUCUAAGUACAUGAAGACAUAAAAGGAUAAUAUGGACAUCAAGAAUCUCUAGAGAACUGUCUACUGCUAUGGUGGAGAGAACAGUGUAAUCUAUCAUUUGUUAUUCAUCAGUGUGAUUAUUCAUGGGUAUAACAUACCUAAACAAUUUUGAGAAUGUAAGGGUGGCAUGUCUGAACUCUUUGUGAUUCAGAAAUCUGAUUUGGUUCCAACCAAGCUAAUAUCGAAAGGUUUAGGUGAAGUUUGAAAGAAAACUACAACUACAUUUUUAUAAACAGGCAAUAAGUGAAAUAUUUUUUAAGAAAUACACUGAUGGAAAAAUGGGGACAAAUGAAUGUAUUAAGUACUAUUCUGUAUGCAGUGAGGAUAUUUGAGGAAUAAACUGUGUGUGUAAAGCUUUUAAGCAGUGGAACAACUUAAUUAAACAUGAGAUGGUUAAAAACAACUAGUAUUGUUCUACGUUAUAUAUCAGAAGUAUUUUGCUAAAAAUGUAUCAAUAAAAAUAUAGGCUUUCAUAUUCUAUAUAUUCCUUAGAAAUGUCUGACCCUCAGCAGCACCAUUUUCAGGUGUUUUUUCUGCAUCUUUAAAUGACUUGUAAAUGAAUGAAUGUAAAUUCAGAGCCUUAUUCUCACAAUGACUACACAAUGCAGUGUGUAUUACUGUCCACACACUUCUUUCAUAAUUAUUUUUAUUGCCAGCUGAUUUGUGUCCAAUAUGAAUACUACAACAUAUAAAAUGCUUAGUAACAUUCUCAAAUAAAUGUAUUUUAAACCUUA